GAGGCGUCGUCCCUCCAAUGUCUCAUUGACAGGCGGGAUAAUCAACACCGGGCGUCCGCUCUCUGCUGAGCCUUCACCUCCCCACUACAGUGAUGAUGCUUUAUUGUCUCCAGUCAGUCCUAGCAUGGAGCAGAAGAACCAGUUAGAUUACUUUCCUGGUAGAGAGCGGCGAUCCAGCUCACAAUCAUAUGUUGGCCGUCCCAUUGAGCUUGACAAGAUCUUACUGUCAAAAGUCAAAGUUCCCCACACAUUCCUGAUUCAC